rnacentral:rRNA from 1 species
AUACCCUAUUAUUUUGAGUGUUAAUUUUGCUUACCUGGGUACUAUUAGUUAAGAUCUUUAAACCCAAAGAAUUUGGCGGUACCUUAUUCCAUUCAGAGGAACCUACCCCGUAAUUGAUAAUACACGAUUGACUUUACUUAAUUUAUUUGUUUGUAUAUCUCCGUUAUCAGAAAAUCUUAUUGGAGUUAUAAUUUUCUUGAUUUAUAAUUAUAAAAUAUUUCAGGUCAAGGUGCAGCUUAUAAUUAAGAGGAGGUGGGUUACAAUAAAUUUUUGUUUAUUAUGGAUUUAAUGGUGAAAUACUAUUAAUGAAGGUGGAUUUGAUAGUAAUUUAAUUUAUUUAAUUUAAUUGAUAUUGGCUCUAAGGUGUGUACACAUCGCCCGUCACUCUCA